rnacentral:tRNA from 1 species
GCUUUUAGCUCAGUGGUCGAGCGUUGGCUUAGGAAGCCACAGGUCGGAGGUUCGAACCCACCAAACACA